rnacentral:rRNA from 1 species
AUUGAACGCUGGCGGUAUGCUUAACACAUGCAAGUCGAACGGCAUCGCGAGGAGCUUGCUCCUUGGCGGCGAGUGGCGGACGGGUGAGUAACGCGUAGGAAUUUACCUUACAGCUGGGGAUAACUCGGGGAAACUCGAGCUAAUACCGAAUGUUGUUUACGAACAAAAGUAUGGGACCCUCGGGCCAUACACUGUAAGAUGAGCCUGCGUUGGAUUAGCUAGUUGGUAGGGUAAAGGCCUACCAAGGCGACGAUCCAUAGCUGUUCUGAGAGGAUGAUCAGCCACACUGGGACUGAGACACGGCCCAG